UUGGAUCUUUUAAUACGGAAACACUACUUUAGCUUCGGGGAUCUGGUUGCGCUUCUAGUUCUUAUACUCAAUCAUACAGAAGACAUGUAGUCAUAUUAU
rnacentral:sRNA from 1 species